rnacentral:rRNA from 1 species
GGCUCAGAUUGAACGCUGGCGGCAUGCUUUACACAUGCAAGUCGAACGGUAACAGGUUAAGCUGACGAGUGGCGAACGGGUGAGUAAUGCAUCGGAACGUGCCCGAUCGUGGGGGAUAACGCAGCGAAAGCUGCGCUAAUACCGCAUACGAUCUGAGGAUGAAAGCGGGGGACCGUAAGGGCCUCGCGCGAUCGGAGCGGCCGAUGUCAGAUUAGGUAGUUGGUGGGGUAAAGGCUCACCAAGCCGACGAUCUGUAGCUGGUCUGAGAGGACGACCAGCCACACUGGGACUGAGACACGGCCCAGACUCCUACGGGAGGCAGCAGUGGGGAAUUUUGGACAAUGGGCGCAAGCCUGAUCCAGCAAUGCCGCGUGCAGGAAGAAGGCCUUCGGGUUGUAAACUGCUUUUGUACGGAGCGAAAAGGCUCUCUCUAAUACAGAGGGUUCAUGACGGUACCGUAAGAAUAAGCACCGGCUAACUACGUG